rnacentral:rRNA from 1 species
AGUGAACGCUGGCGGUAGGCCUAACACAUGCAAGUCGAACGGCAGCACAGUAAGAGCUUGCUCUUACGGGUGGCGAGUGGCGGACGGGUGAGGAAUACAUCGGAAUCUACUUUUUCGUGGGGGAUAACGUAGGGAAACUUACGCUAAUACCGCAUACGACCUACGGGUGAAAGCAGGGGAUCUUCGGACCUUGCGCGAUUGAAUGAGCCGAUGUCGGAUUAGCUAGUUGGCGGGGUAAAGGCCCACCAAGGCGACGAUCCGUAGCUGGUCUGAGAGGAUGAUCAGCCACACUUGAACUGAGACACGGUCCAGACUCCUACGGGAGGCAGCAGUGGGGAGUAUUGGACAAUGGGCGCAAGCCUGAUCCAGCCAUACCGCGUGGGUGAAGAAGGCCUUCGGGUUGUAAAGCCCUUUUGUUGGGAAAGAAAAGCAGCAGGUUAAUACCCCGCUGUUCUGACGGUACCCAAAGAAUAAGCACCGGCUAACUUCGUG